AGUCGAACGGUGGUAGCAAUACCAUAGUGGCGCACGGGUGCGUAACACGUAACUAACCUACCUAUAACUGGGGGAUAGCCCGCCGAAAGGCGGAUUAAUACCGCAUAAGCUGUUUGAGUGGCAUCACUCGCUUAGUAAAGAUUUAUUGGUUAUAGAUGGGGUUGCGGGUCAUUAGCUAGUUGGUAAGGUAACGGCUUACCAAGGCGACGAUGACUAGGGGAGCUGAGAGGCUGGUCCCCCACACGGGCACUGAGAUACGGGCCCGACUCCUACGGGAGGCAGCAGUAGGGAAUAUUGGGCAAUGGGCGAGAGCCUGACCCAGCCAUGCCGCGUGCAGGAAGAAGGCUUUCUGAGUCGUAAACUGCUUUUGACAGGGAAGAAUAAGCAUUACGUGUAAUGCGAUGACGGUACCUGCAGAAUAAGCACCGGCUAACUCCGUGCCAGCAGCCGCGGUAAUACGGAGGGUGCGAGCGUUGUCCGGAUUUAUUGGGUUUAAAGGGUGCGUAGGCGGCCGUUUAAGUCUGGGGUGAAAGCCCGCUGCUCAACAGCGGAACUGCCCUGGAUACUGGAUGGCUUGAGUACAGACGAGGUUGGCGGAAUGGGCUGAGUAGCGGUGAAAUGCAUAGAUACAGUCCAGAACCCCGAUUGCGAAGGCAGCUGACUAGGCUGUUACUGACGCUGAGGCACGAAAGCGUGGGGAGCGAACAGGAUUAGAUACCCUGGUAGUCCACGCCGUAAACGAUGGAUACUCGCUGCGAGCUAAAGAUUGUUCGUGGCUUAGGGAAACCGAUAAGUAUCCCACCUGGGGAGUACGCUCGCAAGAGUGAAACUCAAAGGAAUUGAC
rnacentral:rRNA from 1 species